CGGACACCUCGUUCCACGGCGGACGGGAUGUCUCGUUCGAGGGGACGCAGUUCCGGGGGUUCGCGGCGUUCGACGCGGCGGUGUUCGC
rnacentral:tRNA from 1 species